rnacentral:rRNA from 1 species
UGGGGAAUUUUGGACAAUGGGCGCAAGCCUGAUCCAGCCAUGCCGCGUGUCUGAAGAAGGCCUUCGGGUUGUAAAGGACUUUUGUCAGGGAAGAAAAGGCUGUUGCUAAUAUCGACAGCUGAUGACGGUACCUGAAGAAUAAGCACCGGCUAACUACGUGCCAGCAGCCGCGGUAAUACGUAGGGUGCGAGCGUUAAUCGGAAUUACUGGGCGUAAAGCGAGCGCAGACGGUUACUUAAGCAGGAUGUGAAAUCCCCGGGCUCAACCUGGGAACUGCGUUCUGAACUGGGUGACUAGAGUGUGUUAGAGGGAGGUAGAAUUCCACGUGUAGCAGUGAAAUGCGUAGAGAUGUGGAGGAAUACCGAUGGCGAAGGCAGCCUCCUGGGAUAACACUGACGUUCAUGCUCGAAAGCGUGGGUAGCAAACAGGAUUAGAUACCCUGGUAGUCCACGCCCUAAACGAUGUCAAUUAGCUGUUGGGCAACUUGAUUGCUUAGUAGCGUAGCUAACGCGUGAAAUUGACCGCCUGGGGAGUACGGUCGCAAGAUUA